AUUAUUAAUCGAAAGAAACAUUAUCGCUCCAAAAUGUGGAAGAUCAAUUGAACGGCAAGAUAUUCAACAUUCAAAUGAAAAGGCUAUUCACAAAAAAAAUGGAUGCAACACAAAAAUUAUUCAUUUUGUCUUUACCUGGAGAAACAAGAUGUAAUUCAUAAACCAAUGACAUCUACAACUGUCAAUGUUACAGAUGCGAAAAAGCGCACAAUUGAACAUCUUAGUUCAGGGGAAAAAGAAUAUCCAAGCAUGGCAAAUAAAUAUAAUCCUUCCACCCACAAACAUAGCAUGGAAAUGAAAAAUCAUCCCAUGAAAAAGAAUUAAAAGUUGGAACACUUUUGUUGUGGUUCUCGAAACGGUCAUUUUUUGCACUCUUUUGCUGCUGCCACUGAAUGCCGUGUUUUGCAAGCUUUUGAUGUUGCUAUGUGGAUGCCUUGUGUUCCUCUUCUUUUGUGGAAAUUGAAAAUAUUUUCUCAUGUGAUAGCAGGUGAUUUUGAUCAAAGAUGGUCCAGAAGAUCCAAGCAUGAAAAAUGCAUAUAUUUUUGUCUAAUUUAAAAUAGUAUGUAAAUCUAUGUAAUUAGC